CCUACGGUGUGCAGCAGUGGGGAAUAUUGGACAAUGGGCGAAAGCCUGAUCCAGCCAUGCCGCGUGUGUGAAGAAGGCCUUCGGGUUGUAAAGCACUUUCAGUGGGGAAGAAAGCCUUGGGGCUAAUACCCUCGAGGAAGGACAUCACCCACAGAAGAAGCACCGGCUAACUCCGUGCCAGCAGCCGCGGUAAUACGGAGGGUGCGAGCGUUAAUCGGAAUUACUGGGCGUAAAGCGCGCGUAGGCGGUCUGAUAAGCCGGUUGUGAAAGCCCCGGGCUCAACCUGGGAACGGCAUCCGGAACUGUCAGGCUAGAGUGCAGGAGAGGAAGGUAGAAGUCCCGGUGUAGCGGUGAAAUGCGUAGAGAUCGGGAGGAAUACCAGUGGCGAAGGCGGCCUUCUGGACUGACACUGACGCUGAGGUGCGAAAGCGUGGGUAGCAAACAGGAUUAGAUACCCGAGUAGUC
rnacentral:rRNA from 1 species